rnacentral:rRNA from 1 species
CCUACGGGGGGCAGCAGUGAGGAAUAUUGGUCAAUGGACGAGAGUCUGAACCAGCCAAGUAGCGUGAAGGAUGACUGCCCUAUGGGUUGUAAACUUCUUUUAUAUGGGAAUAAAACGUUCCACGUGUGGGAUUUUGUAUGUACCAUAUGAAUAAGGAUCGGCUAACUCCGUGCCAGCAGCCGCGGUAAUACGGAGGAUCCGAGCGUUAUCCGGAUUUAUUGGGUUUAAAGGGAGCGUAGGUGGAUUGUUAAGUCAGUUGUGAAAGUUUGCGGCUCAACCGUAAAAUUGCAGUUGAAACUGGCAGUCUUGAGUACAGUAGAGGUGGGCGGAAUUCGUGGUGUAGCGGUGAAAUGCUUAGAUAUCACGAAGAACUCCGAUGGCGAAGGCAGUUCACUGGACUGCAACUGACACUGAGGCUCGAAAGUGUGGGUAUCAAACAGGAUUAGAUACCCUGGUAGUC